rnacentral:SRP_RNA from 1 species
ACAGAGCCCCAGGAGGAAGGGGGGACUGUUAGCAGUGUAGGAUUGAGGAGUUGGAAGAGAUCUUUAGAACAGCUGGUCAUUAUGCCGACCGGGUGCCUGCACUAAGUUCAGCACCAAUAUGGCGACCUCCUGGGAGCGGGGGGGCCAUCAAGUUGCCUAAGGAUGGCUGAACUGGCCCAGGUCAGAAACGGAGCAGGUCAGAACUCCCAAACCGACCGGUAGUGGGACUGUGCCUGGGCGGUAUAGCAAGAUCUUCGUUCUUAAAAGUAAAAAUAAAGAACAGCAGCUCAUUCCU